UGAAUGGUUCUCGCUCAGAAUGUUCCAGAUCUGAUAUGCUCUACAUGCUGAGCUCGUCUAAAUGCUGGUCUUCACCAGAUUUUACAGAUGAUGGUGUAUCACCGACAGUUGGAGCGUGAGAGCCCUCCUGCCAGGCUUCACAUCCCAUCUCUGUGGCUCCUGGCUGUGCCUCAGUUUCCCUAUUUGCUGAACAGAGAUAAAAUAGCUCCUGCAUCUGGCUGGGGAGGACAUCCCAUGGAGACAAUGGAAUGCAGAGGAAUGAGACUGAUGCUUGUGGCUAUUGUUAGCUGUGGGACCUGAGGCCAUUUACUCAACUUAUUGGCCCUGGCUUCACUUGUAAGGGUGGAGAAGAGAGUUCGCUCUGGCUUCUCUUCAGUUCUGAGAACUUGACAAUUAGCAAGUCAUUCAUCCUCAAAAAGCCCUAGGCCAAGGGGGCCAUCUGCAUUCCCAUUUAACAGGUAAGAAACUCGAGGCAGGGAAGCCAAGCGAGAUCCCAUACCAUCAGUGAGAGGCAGAGCUGGGAUUUGAACCCAAGCUCCCAGGCACUCAAGGGGGCCUAUCUUAUCAUCCCACUGAUCCGGGUUCCCGCUGGCUCGUGGGCCGGUGUGGGGCGGGC
rnacentral:lncRNA from 1 species